rnacentral:rRNA from 1 species
GAAUUCCUGGUGUAGCGGUGGAAUGCGCAGAUAUCAGGAGGAACACCGAUGGCGAAGGCAGGUCUCUGGGCCGCAACUGACGCUGAGGAGCGAAAGCAUGGGGAGCGAACAGGAUUAGAUACCCUGGUAGUCCAUGCCGUAAACGUUGGGCACUAGGUGUGGGACUCAUUCCACGAGUUCCGUGCCGCAGCUAACGCAUUAAGUGCCCCGCCUGGGGAGUACGGCCGCAAGGCUAAAACUCAAAGGAAUUGACGGGGGCCCGCACAAGCGGCGGAGCAUGCGGAUUAAUUCGAUGCAACGCGAAGAACCUUACCAAGGCUUGACAUGCACCGGACGCUGCCAGAGAUGGUGGUUCCGCAAGGUCGGUGCACAGGUGGUGCAUGGUUGUCGUCAGCUCGUGUCGUGAGAUGUUGGGUUAAGUCCCGCAACGAGCGCAACCCUUGUCCUAUGUUGCCAGCGGGUUAUGCCGGGGACUCAUGGGAGACUGCCGGGGUCAACUCGGAGGAAGGCGGGGAUGACGUCAAAUCAUCAUGCCCCUUAUGUCUUGGGCUUCACGCAUGCUACAAUGGCCGGUACAGAGGGCUGCGAUACCGUAAGGUGGAGCGAAUCCCAAAAAGCCGGUCUCAGUUCGGAUUGGGGUCUGCAACUCGACCCCAUGAAGUCGGAGUCGCUAGUAAUCGCAGAUCAGCAACGCUGCGGUGAAUACGUUCCCGGGCCUUGUACACACCGCCCGUCAAGUCACGAAAGUUGGUAACACCCGAAGCUCACG